rnacentral:rRNA from 1 species
AUGAAACCCGGCACAGCUACAGCAGCACUCGUCCAUUGGCGCUCGUUCUUGCCCGGUCCACCGAUGACGCUUGACGGCGGCUUGCCAGUCACCGCCGACGGCGCCGGCGUGCCCACGGUCGCGGAGAGGAGCGGCGGCGGCUGCGGCGCCCGCGUGGCGCCGGAGGUGGUGGUGGAGCGGGACGGCGGCAGCGGUGCCGGCGUUACCAUCCUUGCGAUGGAGAGGGAUGGCGGCGUUGGUGCCGGCGUGGCGCCCACUGCGGCGGAGAGCGAGGGCGGCGGCGGGAGGAGCUGCGGCGAGCAGUGCGUGAUCCGGGUGGCGGAGGAGUCGUGCUGCGCGCGGUGCGUGUGCGUGGGGCCGAACCCGAUGAUGGCGCGGUACGUGUACGCGCUCAUCUUCCUGGUGACCAACCUGCUGGCCUGGACGGUCCGCGACUACGGCCACUCGGCGCUGGGCGAGCUCCGGCGGCUCAGGGGCUGCCAGGGCGCGCGCUACUGCCUGGGCGCCGAGGGCGUGCUGCGCAUCAGCCUCGGCUGCUUCCUCUUCUUCUUCGUCAUGUUCCUGUCCACCAUGAAGACGCGCAAGGUGCACGACUGCCGCAACUCGUGGCACUCCGAGUGGUGGCCGGUGAAGAUCGUGCUCUGGAUGGCCCUCACCGCCGUCCCCUUCUUCGCGCCCUCGCCGCUCAUCCAGCUCUACGGGAAGGUGGCACAUUUCGGAGCAGGGGCGUUCCUCGUGAUCCAGCUCAUCAGCGUGACCAGGUUCAUCACGUGGCUCAACGACUGCUGCCGAUCGGAGCUGAACCUCAAGAGAUGCCACAUGCAGGUGCUGGUGGUGUCGAUCGUGACGUACGUGGGGUCCAUCCUGGGGAUCGUGCUCAUGUACGUGUGGUACGCGCCCACGUCCGCCUGCAAGCUCAACAUCCUCUUCAUCACCGUCACCCUCGUGCUCGUGCAGCUCAUGACUUUCGUCUCCGUCAACUCCAAGGUGAAGGCGGGGUACCUGGCGCCGGGGUUGAUGGGGAUAUACAUCGUGUUCCUCUGCUGGUCGGCGAUCAGAAGUGAGCCGCACACGGAGAUCUGCAACAGGAAAGCAGAGGUGGCGACAAGCGCGGACUGGCUCAACAUCGCGAGUUUCGUGAUCGCGGUGAUCGUCGUCGUCGCGGCGACCUUCUCGACGGGGAUAGACUCAAAGUGUAUUCAGUUCAAGAGCGCCGAGACGGAGUCCGAGGACGACGACAUCCCGUACGGGUUCGGCUUCUUCCACUUCGUGUUCGCCAUGGGCGCCAUGUACUUCGCCAUGCUCUUCAUCGGCUGGAACGCGCAUCAGGAAAUGGAGAAGUGGACGAUCGACGUGGGCUGGGCGAGCACGUGGGUGCGCGUCGGCAACGAGUGGCUAGCGGCGAUCACGUACAUAUGGAUGAUCGUCGCUCCGAUCGUGUGGAAGCGGAGGCAGGUGGGGUCGUCGUCCGCGUGUGCGUGA